CUUGAUGAUUCUUUUUGAAUCAAAGAUCUUGGUCAUUUGAAUUACUUUCUGGGGAUUGAAGCAUUCAGAUCCACUGAUGGUCUCAACAUUUGCCAAAGAAA